rnacentral:tRNA from 1 species
UCCCCGGUAGCUCAGUUGGUAGAGCAGCUGACUGUUAAUCAGCUUGUCACUGGUUCGAGCCCAGUCCGGGGAGCCA